GUAUAGAUUUUAAAGGCAAUUGAAGCCCAUUAAAUGACAUUCAAUAGACAUACAAAUAGGGGUAUAUAAAAACAUAGACUGGAAGUGUAAGGAAAGCUAGUUUUGUACACUACAUUCCUCAAACCGAGUUUUCCUCGAAAGAUAUCCAUGUCUACAAAGGGUGCACAGGUGGUAAGAAGUUGGAGUUAGAUGUGCACAUGCCCCAGAAAGGCCAGCUACAACCCAACCAAGCUUAUUCAAUAAUGAUCCUUCCGCAGGUUCACCUACGGAAA
rnacentral:misc_RNA from 1 species